GGCAGCCAGUUUGCUGAGAGGUGGGGCGGUAUUAGCUGUCUGGCCUGAGAUGUUGGCACACUGUAGCUUACAGGCUACUGGUGGGGCCAGGUCUUGGGGCUAAUGAUCCAAGCAAGAGGCCCACGCCAAUGAACACUUGCUGAUACACCAGCUUUUAUGACCCCCGAGGGAGCCACAGCGCCCCCGCCCUCCCCAAACCAACAGGAAUUAGCUGUGAUUCUGGCGGUUUCUGAGAGGAGGCGAGCUCAAGGGCCUUCCAGUCGGCCGAGCUGAAAGAUUCCUCGGGACUCUCACCUCAAAGGAUGGGCCGCUUCUUUAUCUACACAGCUCUGGGCCAGAGACCUGUACCUGGCAGUAACAAUGAAUACUUGUGAAACUAGUCAAUAUCUAUUAGUUGACUGAUUAACCUGUUCUUUUCCAUAAUUUGUCCCUUUUCUAUAACAGCACCUAUUUUUCUACUUUAAUUGUUAAAGAUAAAAUACUUCAAUGGGCAAAUAUCACUUAAAGCCAAAGAAAAUAUAACUCUGUGGAUAUUCCCUAAGGAAAAACCAAGGGUAUAUAACAAAAUCACUCAUUAGAAAUCCUUCCUAAUAAAGGACAAUGCUCUAGGACACUUUAUAGCAUACCGCAUCCAUUUUCAGAAAUUUAGGGACACGUCUCAAAUUUCUGAUUCCCUAAGUUCCUUAAGAACCCUUCUUCCAACACCAAUCCUCUAUGCUACCACCCCAAUGUCCCCCCACCCCCACCACCACAAAAACCCUUUGAGUAAUUUUUUUUUCUUUUUUGGCUGUCCCUUGGCAUGUGCAGUUCCCGGGCCAGGAAACAGAUCCAAGCCACAGUUGCAACCUAAGCCAAAGCUGCAGCAAGGCCAGAUUGUUAACCCACCAUGCCCAGCUAGGGAACGGAGUUAUUUUAAUAGAGUUACACUUAAGGCAUGAGAAUUAUUUCAGAGCUCACUGCAGUCAAUAUGCUAAUAUUAAAUAAUGUUGAGGCGACAACAAAAAAGUAAAUAAUGUUCAAGAAAAGUUUAAUUUUACUCAUAAGUGAAUUUCAAAUUAAAAUACACUAGAAAAGCAGCCUAACUAUAUUUACUCUUCUGUGGAUCUGUAGUUGAAAUGCAGUUUCACAAGAACCUAACUAUACAUAGCAUCUGCAACUAUAUUUAUAUUGUAUCCAUAUAUAAAAACUGAACAGAAAAAUAUCCUUUCUGAAGAGAAGAGCUAGUUGAGAUGUUCAAGAAUCAAAAGUGGAACCACCCUUUAGAGGGAAUAAUAUUGAAACUGACAGGACCCUGUGGGGCUCCUGGGCACAAGCCCUCUGUGUUCCCUAUUUCUUACUCUUAGGGAAUAAGCUUCAGCCUCCACCACCCUCCCUGCGCUCCAAAGAGUAGGUUCAAACAGUUGCUCAUCAGAGAAGGGAGGGGAUGCAGAGACAACAGUGCAGCCUUGGGGCGGGAUCCUGGUUCCUCCUCAAGGAAUAUACAUAAAAGUAUCUUUGAGUUCUUCUGCAGAACUAAAACCUGCCACAAAUGAAAACAAGAGAGGAGGACCACGGAACCAGGCCUGGGGCCACUAAACACCAACUUUGAAGAAGAAUGAAAGCUUGUACCUAUUCUGAUCCUUAUCUGUGGCCCUGUUUUCUUCUCCCAAACUAUAAAGCAACUUCCUAAUCUCUCCCAAGGGAGGGCACAGUCUUUAGGGCAUUAGCCUGCUAUGGCCUCCUUUGCCUAGCAAGCAGUAAUGCUAUUUUUUUUCCUCCCGCACCCAAAACUGUCUCUGAGAUUCUAUUCGGCACUGAUGGACAAACACCUAGUUUCAACAAUUCCAGGCUCCAAUAAAAUAUAAGCAUUCAAAAC
rnacentral:lncRNA from 1 species